AAUGAAUAAUAUACUGCAAUAGUUACACAAUAUCCUGGUCCUGGAGGAGAAAACACGAAGAUUUGAAUGUGGUAAAGAUGUUUAACUACCUUGACUAACAUUUCCAGUGGAAGAAUCUUCGUGUUAAAAUUUCUGAAAGUUAAUACUUGACACCAAAUUUAAAAAAUCUACACAAGUAAUGUCUAUGCAUUCGAUUUUACUCCAUUUAUCACUAUCCUUCAAUCCGGACAAAACCUCGAGAGGAAUGAAGCACCAAGAAGCAUCCAAUGAUGAGCUCGUGACAAGGGUCA